ACUUAGUCCCUUCCACCCCUAUAAAUACCAUCAUCUUUUCUCACUUAAAGGAGGCCCAACGCCCAUCAUUCUAAGCUCUCUAAAAAAAAAAGCUCUCAUUCACUCACUUGCUUUUUAAGUUUCUCUAAAAAAUCAGUAAGAAAAAAAAAUAGUUUCAUUCAAGUCAAAAAAUAGUUUUAGUUAAAGUAAAAUAAAAAAAAAAAUCAAAAAAACAAGUUUUUAGUUUAAUUAAUAUCAAUAUUCAGAAAAUCAAAAAAGAAGUUAUUCAAUUUUCUUGGACAAUUCACUUUGCAGUCACUUUUUUAUUUCGAUUGAUCAUUUGGACUAAUCUCUCAAACAUUGCUAGUCAGAGCCAAAGGGCACUAUACGUGCCGGUUACCUAAUUUGGAAACCAACUAGAAUUUGACCGACCACGGGUGAGACUCGAGGGUGAGUGUAUGUGAAGUUUUUUUUUUUUUUUUACGUAUGUUGAUCACCAAAAAAUGUUUUUAUCAAAACAAAAUUAAAGUGAGAAGGUGCAUAAGAAAAUUCGACAGAAAGAUGGUGGAACUUUAGUACUAGCCAAUUUCUUCAUUUUCUUUUUUUGUCAAAUUUUAUUGGUAACUAUAUAAAAUAUAUUCACUUUUCAAAAUUCAUAAAAGAAAUUCUUUACAGAAGCUUGAAGUAUUUAGAAGACCACGACAUUUGGAAUUUUUCAAAAACAAGUUUUAGAAAAAUCACAAUAAAUCCUAAACUUCAGACUAGCAAAACUAUCUUUUUCAGGUUCCGAUUUCUUCUUUGGUGAAAUUCGAGUAGGUUAACUUAUUAUUUUCUAAAAUCUCAAAGAAUAUCAUAGAAGGACAAAAUCCUAAGCUUUCUAAAUUGACCUCUCCCACCUCCACACGAUUUUUAUUCAAUUUUAUAGAAUAUUUUCAAAAACAGAAAUCUAGGAAGACAGUUUCUUAAAAAUGACAAUUUCAAAUAAAUAAGUUUUAUUUUAUUAAAAAUAUUAAAUAAACUUUAAAAUCUGAGCUUUUUAUACACAUGACUCCAAAAUGUUUCUAAAGUCUAUUUUAAAAAUAAAAACGUGAUUUUGUUUUCAAAUAAUUAAUUUAUAAUUUAAUUUCACUUCAAGGUCUAAAAAAGGAGCAGCUUUAAUGAAAAAUUAUUUAUAAAUUAUCUACUUCUGAGUUUGAAACCCUUUUUUAACACGUUAAAGAAAACACUUAGAUCUUUCCAAGAAGGUAUCAAACGCUCAAAUCCGAGUUCGGGAGGUCUUGGUAUUAAAUUUAAAGUUCAACGAGAUGUAAUUUUCUCAACAUUUUUUAAAAAAAAGAAAAUUAGUUUUCUCUUAUAAAAUCCGAUUUACCCAAAAUAAAUUCCUAUUUUUCCUAGAUAACAGAUUUUGUAAGUAUACAUACUCCAAACCAUUUACCACUUCGUUAUACUUACCUAAAAUUAAUUUAGGUUAAGUUAAGUAAAGUGGAAAAUUCUAAAAUAAACCCAAAUAUAAGUUUUGUUUACUUAGGUCGCUACUUUCCAAACAUCCAAGGCGAAGAAAUAUGAAGACUAGUCAAGGAAACACAGUUCAAGGCGAAGGAAUCAAGACUUGAAGCUGCUCAUUAGAUAUGAAUUCUGAUUAUUGUAAUAUUUUGUAUUUAUGGCACUUGUAAACUAAAGUUCCACCACCAAAGUAAUAAAACAACAAAAAAGUUAUCUUAUGCA